rnacentral:rRNA from 1 species
UGGGGAAUUUUGGACAAUGGGCGAAAGCCUGAUCCAACAAUGCCGCGUGUGUGAAGAAGGCCUUCGGGUUGUAAAGCACUUUUGUCCGGAAAGAAAUCCUUGGCUCUAAUACAGUCGGGGGAUGACGGUACCGGAAGAAUAAGCACCGGCUAACUACGUGCCAGCAGCCGCGGUAAUACGUAGGGUGCAAGCGUUAAUCGGAAUUACUGGGCGUAAAGCGUGCGCAGGCGGUUUGCUAAGACCGAUGUGAAAUCCCCGGGCUCAACCUGGGAACUGCAUUGGUGACUGGCAGGCUAGAGUAUGGCAGAGGGGGGUAGAAUUCCGCGUGUAGCAGUGAAAUGCGUAGAGAUGUGGAGGAAUACCGAUGGCGAAGGCAGCCCCCUGGGCCAAUACUGACGCUCAUGCACGAAAGCGUGGGGAGCAAAACAGGAUUAGAUACCCUGGUAGUCCACGCCCUAAACGAUGUCAACUAGUUGUUGGGGAUUCAUUUCCUUAGUAACGUAGCUAACGCGUGAAGUUGACCGCCUGGGGAGUACGGUCGCAAGAUUAAAACUCAAAGGAAUUGACGGGGUCAUAGCUGUUUCCU